UACGAAGGGGGCUAGCGUUGUUCGGAAUCACUGGGCGUAAAGGGCGCGUAGGCGGCCGAUCAAGUCGGGGGUGAAAGCCUGUGGCUCAACCACAGAAUUGCCUUCGAUACUGUUUGGCUUGAGACCGGAAGAGGUAAGUGGAACUGCGAGUGUAGAGGUGAAAUUCGUAGAUAUUCGGAAGAACACCAGUGGCGAAGGCGGCUCACUGGCCCGUUACCGACGCUCAGGCGCGACAGCGUGGGGAGCAAACAGG
rnacentral:rRNA from 1 species